CUACGGGUCGCUGCAGUGAGGAAUUUUGCGCAAUGGGGGAAACCCUGACGCAGCAACGCCGCGUGAGCGAAGAAGGCCUUCGGGUCGUAAAGCUCUGUCAAGUGGGAAAAAAAUUCUUUGAUGAACAGUCAAAGGACUUGAUGGUACCACUGGAGGAAGCACCGGCUAACUCCGUGCCAGCAGCCGCGGUAAUACGGAGGGUGCAAGCGUUGUUCGGAAUUACUGGGCGUAAAGAGCGUGUAGGCGGUUUGACAAGUCAGAUGUGAAAGCCCCGGGCUCAACCCGGGAAGUGCAUUUGAAACUGUUUCACUAGGGUAUGGGAGAGGAGAUUGGAAUUCCUGGUGUAGAGGUGAAAUUCGUAGAUAUCAGGAGGAACACCCGUGGCGAAGGCGAUUCUCUGGACCAAUACUGACGCUGAGACGCGAAAGCGUGGGGAGCAAACAGGAUUAGAUACCCCCGUAGUC
rnacentral:rRNA from 1 species